CGUGUAGGCGGUGCGAUAAGUCGGGCGUGAAAUCCCCGGGCUUAACCCGGGGCGGUCGCUCGAAACUGUCGUGCUCGAGGGUGGGAAAGGGAAGUGGAAUUCCCGGUGUAGCAGUGAAAUGCGUAGAUAUCGGGAGGAACACCUGCGGCGAAGGCGGCUUCCUGGACCAUUACUGACGCUGAGGCGCGAAAGCUAGGGGAGCAAACAGGAUUAGAUACCCUGGUAGUCCUGGCCCUAAACGUUGAGCACUGGAUGUAGCCCUUCACCGGGCUGUGUCGAAGCUAACGCAUUAAGUGCUCCGCCUGGGGAGUACGGUCGCAAGGCUGAA
rnacentral:rRNA from 1 species